CAAUUACGAGCACGAGAAUUGAAAGACAUGAAAAUUGUUAACUCUCUACGGCAUCUAAUAGAUAGAUAGAAUAUUUUCGGGAACAAGAAAAUUAGAAGAAUUUUUCUCUCUAUUCACUAUGAUUAUAAGUCUUCGAUUUUUAUUAGUUUUUUUUCUUCUUUAAUUCAAUAG
rnacentral:rRNA from 1 species